CGGUCGCUACCCCGUUCGUUAGGUUGAUCAUCCCUGGGGCUUUCGAUACCUCGGGAGCUGUCCCUGUCAGGCCCGUGGGUUUGGUAUACGGCGCCCACCUGCACAAGCAGGCCACAGAGGAUAUCCUUCCAACGGCUGGGUGGGGCCGCC
rnacentral:other from 1 species